UACGUAGGGCGCAAGCGUUGUCCGGAAUUAUUGGGCGUAAAGAGCUCGUAGGCGGUCUGUCGCGUCUGUUGUGAAAACUCGAGGCUCAACCUCGGGCUUGCAGUGGAUACGGGCAGACUAGAGUGCGGUAGGGGAGACUGGAAUUCCUGGUGUAGCGGUGGAAUGCGCAGAGUAUCAGGAGGAACACCGGCGGCGAAGGCGGCACUCUGGGCCGGUACUGACGCUGAGGAGCGAAAGCGUGGGUAGCAAACAGG
rnacentral:rRNA from 1 species